rnacentral:rRNA from 1 species
UACGGGGGGAGCAAGCGUUGUUCGGAUUUACUGGGCGUAAAGCGCGCGUAGGUGGCCUCAUAAGUCCGUUGUGAAAGUCAAAGGCUCAACCUUUGAAAGCCGAUGGAUACUGUGAGGCUAGAGUACGGAAGAGGCGAGUGGAAUUCCUGGUGUAGCGGUGGAAUGCGCAGAUAUCAGGAGGAACACCGAUAGCGAAGGCAGCUCGCUGGGACGUUACUGACACUGAGGCGCGAAAGCUAGGGGAGCAAACGGG